rnacentral:rRNA from 1 species
GCGCAGGAAAAGAAACCAACAGGGAUUGCCUUAGUAACUGCGAGUGAAGCGGCAAAAGCUCAAAUUUGAAAUCUGGCGUCUUCGGCGUCCGAGUUGUAAUUUGGAGAGAUUUCUUCGGGGUGAACACCGGUCCAAGUUCCUUGGAACAGGACGUCACAGAGGGUGAGAAUCCCGUGUCUGACCGGUUGCUUCAUUCCAUGUGAAGAGUCUUCGACGAGUCGAGUUGUUUGGGAAUGCAGCUCAAAAUGGGUGGUAAAUUUCAUCUAAAGCUAAAUAUUGGCGAGAGACCGAUAGCGCACAAGUAGAGUGAUCGAAAGAUGAAAAGCACUUUGAAAAGAGAGUUAAAAAGUACGUGAAAUUGUUGAAAGGGAAGCGCUUGAGACCAGACUCAAUUUGUGGUGAACAUCAGUCCUUCUGGGCUGUGCGCUUGCCACUUUUUGGGCGAGCAUCGGUUCUGACCGAGUGAGAAAUGAACUGCGAGUGUAGGUCCUCUCUCGGCGUGUGAGAGACCACCCAGGGAUAACAGAAAUGGGGUAGGGAACGGGGGAACUCUCCUCUCUGUGAGAAGGCCGGGUAUAAGGGGUCCUGAGGAGAGCGUGUCUACGCAACACAGGAACUAGUGGAAAAAUUAUCAUACCUAGGGGACGGUUGUUACGAGGUCGCAGUAUUCCCAUUAGUUUAGAAUAUUUAAAGCCUGACUCCGGGGGGGGGGGAAAACCCAGGGGGAAGUCCGCUAGAUAGGAUUACCUGAUCCCGAGAGCGUUUUCAAGGCUAGGGAGAAGCAUCCCGGCGGGGCCUAGCCAAGGCUUUGGUA